GAGUUUGAUCGUGGCUCAGAUUGAACGCUGGCGGCAUGCCUAACACAUGCAAGUCGAACGGUAACGCGGGGGCAACCCUGGCGACGAGUGGCGGACGGGUGAGUAAUACGUAGGAAUCUGCCCAUUUGUGGGGGAUAACCCGGCGAAAGCCGGGCUAAUACCGCAUACGCUCUACGGAGGAAAGCAGGGGAUCGUAAGACCUUGCGCUAAUGGAUGAGCCUACGUCGGAUUAGCUAGUUGGUAGGGUAACGGCCUACCAAGGCGACGAUCCGUAGCUGGUCUGAGAGGACGAUCAGCCACACUGGGACUGAGACACGGCCCAGACUCCUACGGGAGGCAGCAGUGGGGAAUAUUGGACAAUGGGGGCGAACCCUGAUCCAGCAAUGCCGCGUGUGUGAAGAAGGCCUGCGGGUUGUAAAGCACUUUCAGAGGGGAAGAAAAAUACGGAGCUAACACCUCCGAGCUUGACGUUACCCUUAGAAGAAGCACCGGCUAACUCCGUGCCAGCCGCCGCAGUAAC
rnacentral:rRNA from 1 species